rnacentral:rRNA from 1 species
GCCGCGUGCAGGACGACGGCUCUAUGAGUUGUAAACUGCUUUUGUACGAGGGUAAAGUGGGCCACGUGUGGUCUUUUGAAAGUAUCGUACGAAUAAGGAUCGGCUAACUCCGUGCCAGCAGCCGCGGUAAUACGGAGGAUCCGAGCGUUAUCCGGAUUUAUUGGGUUUAAAGGGUGCGCAGGCGGCUGGGUAAGUUAGAGGUGAAAGCACGGUGCUUAACAUCGUAAUUGCCUCUGAUACUGUCCGGCUGGAGAUUGGUUGCGGAAGGCGGAAUGUGUGGUGUAGCGGUGAAAUGCUUAGAUAUCACACAGAACCCCGAUUGCGAAGGCAGCUUUCCAAGCCACAUCUGACGUUCAUGCACGAAAGCGUGGGUAGCGAACAGGAUUAGAUACCCUGGUAGUCCACGCAGUAAACGAUGAUUACUCGUUGUCGGCGAUACAAAGUCGGUGACUAAGCGAAAGCGAUAAGUAAUCCACCUGGGGAGUACGUUCGCAAGAAUGAAACUCAAAGGAAUUGACGGGGGCCCGCACAAGCGGAGGAACAUGUGGUUUAAUUCGAUGAUACGCGAGGAACCUUACCCGGGCUUGAAAGUUAGCGACUAUUCUGGAAACAGGAUAUCCCUUCGGGGCGCGAAACUAGGUGCUGCAUGGUUGUCGUCAGCUCGUGCCGUGAGGUGUCGGAUUAAGUUCCAUAACGAGCGCAACCCCUAUCGUUAGUUGCCAUCAGGUCAUGCUGGGGACUCUAACGAGACUGCCGGUGUAAGCCGCGAGGAAGGUGGGGAUGACGUCAAAUCAGCACGGCCCUUACGUCCGGGGCGACACACGUGUUACAAUGGUCGGUACAGAGGGCAGCUACCUGGUGACAGGAUGCGAAUCUCGAAAGCCGAUCUCAGUUCGGAUCGCAGGCUGAAACCCGCCUGCGUGAAGUUGGAUUCGCUAGUAAUCGCGCAUCA